UACGUAGGGACCAAGCGUUGUUCGGAUUUACUGGGCGUAAAGGGCGCGUAGGCGGCGCGGUAAGUCACUUGUGAAAUCUCUGAGCUUAACUCAGAACGGCCAAGUGAUACUGCAGUGCUAGAGUGUGGAAGGGGCAAUCGGAAUUCUUGGUGUAGCGGUGAAAUGCGUAGAUAUCAGGAGGAACACCGGUGGCGAAGGCGGGUCUCUGGGCCGUAACUGACGCUGAGGAGCGAAAGCGUGGGGAGCGAACAGG
rnacentral:rRNA from 1 species